rnacentral:rRNA from 1 species
AUUGCACGCUGGCGUCAGGCCUAACACAUGCAAGUCGAGCGAGAGGCGGACGGGUGAGUAAUGUAUGGGAAACUGCCUGAUGGAGGGGGAUAACUACCGGAAACGGUUGCUAAUACCGCAUACCAUAAGAUUAACCCAGAUGGGAUGAGCUUGUAGGUAUGGUAACGGCUUACCUAGGCGACGCUCCCUAGCUGGUCUCAGAGGAUGACCAGCCACAGUGGAACUGAGACACGGCCCAGACUCCUACGUGAGGCAGCAGUGGGGAAUAUGGAACAAUGGGCGCAAGCCUGAUGCAGCCAUGCAGCGUGUAUGAAGAAGGCCGUCGGGUUGUAAAGUACUUUCAGUGGGGAGGCGUUACCGACAGAAGAAGCACCGGCUAACUCCGUGCCAGCAGCCGCGGUAAUUC